rnacentral:misc_RNA from 1 species
UCAAACUUGGUCAUUUAGAGGAAGUAAAAGUCGUAACAAGGUUUCCGUAGGUAUGUUAUGACUGUCGUUUUUCUGUUGGUUUGCAUCUGCUAACGAACAUCACAGGUGAACCUGCGGAAGGAUCAUUACCGAGAUCUCCCGAAAGGGGCCUCCCACCCUUGUUUUGUGGCUGUUGCUUCGGCGAGACGGAUCUUUCCCGUUGACAAAUGUCGACGAGCGCUCGUCGGAGGUUUUGACUCUGAAUUUUGCUGUCCGAGUUUUUGACAAAGAAAAAAACUUUCAACAACGGAUCUCUUGGUUCUGGCAUCGAUGAAGAACGCAGC